GAAACUGUUUGGGCCAGAAUUUUCUGCCUUUCUCAGUAAAUCUCUCUUCCUUAAGGCCUCUAGUCUUGGGAGUAGGAGUGCCUGCAUGCUGAGGAGUUUUGUAAAUCUCAUCUCUGUUAGUGCUAAGUAUAAGCUCAGCAGAUUUACCUCCUGGGAAUAAUUUUUAAGUUGUGGUAUUAAUUCAGAGAUUAUUUGCAUUGCAGAACAACCCUCUCCCUGUCAGAGCAGAUUCAGAUGAGCAUGGAAAGGACAGAAAUUAUACCCAUCCAGGCCUGGGAACUGAAGCAUCUUCUUUUUGCCUUCAAGAUACAGGUGAAAAGGGAAAGAUGAAAAUAAAAGAGAUGGGCAGGCGGCCUUCCUCACAGGCAUCUCAGCAGAUAAGGUGCCUGAACCUUGCGUUUAGCCAGGAAGAGGUAAUAGGACCCAAGAAGAAAAGGAAGGUCAGUGAACCAGAGAAGCUGCUUCUGGAAGGCAGGAAAUGAUGUUUGUUCUGCCACACAAUGCAUUUCAGAAGGUGUGAGUUCGUGUUGUCAUCUGACUGGUAAAGACCUUAAUUCUCU
rnacentral:lncRNA from 1 species